rnacentral:rRNA from 1 species
CCUACGGGAGGCUGCAGUAGGGAAUAUUGCUCAAUGGGGGAAACCCUGAAGCAGCAACGCCGCGUGGGGGAUGAAGGUUUUCGGAUUGUAAACUCCUAUUGUUAGAGAAGAUAAUGACGGUAUCUAACGAAUAAGCACCGGCUAACUCCGUGCCAGCAGCCGCGGUAAUACGGAGGGUGCAAGCGUUACUCGAAAUCACUGGGCGUAAAGAGCGCGUAGGCGGGGUAGCAAGUCAGAGGUGAAAUCCUAGGGCUAAACCAUAGAACUGCAUUUGAAACUGUUAUUUUGGGGUAUGGAAGAGGUAGGUGGAAUUCUAGGUGUGGGGGUAAAAUCGG